GUACUCCCCUGUGUCCCUCACUUAAUUCUCAGUGUCCCUGGGAGCCAGGGGACACAGUCCUGCCAUUUUACAGAGGAGCAAACCAAAGUACACAGAAGGCCUUUGACUUCUCCAAGACUAGACAGGCACCAAAUGGCAGAAUUGCUCUAGAAGUCAUCUCCCCCAGAGUUUGCUUUUAAGUGCAUGUUUAUCCUUCUGUUUUAAAAGAGAUCUCUGCAAAUGGCUUUCUUGCCAAGAAGAGAAGAAGCCACAUUCCAGUGGAAAUCAGGCCUCUAAUCCAAGCAUAUUGCUUGCUAUUAAUUGCCAAAACAGGACUGCUAAUGAGGAAUGUAUUUGCAUAUGUGUGCAAAAGCUGAAUCAUUGAAAAUGUUCCUUGAAACUCUCUUUGGACAUUCCCAGCUAGAGAGCGAAGAGUGUGAAAAGUAGUCUGGUUUUUGAAACUUAGGUAUUUCAUAUUUUUCCCCUCAAGAACUUUUUUAAAGAAAUGGAUUUGCCAUCCUCCUUAAUUUUCAGGACUGCCUUGGUGGCUUUGUUUGCUGAGACAAGGCCCACAACCUGUGCCUCGCCUGUUAACCCUUACUUUGAAUUCAAAGAAUCUAUUUAAGAAUCUAAUAUAUGAGACUUUCUUUGAUUUCUCCUCAUUCUACUCAGCUUAACAGAGAUAAAGAAAUUAUUUGAAUAAACUGAACAGAGGCUCAUUUGUCUGUACCUUUCUUUCAUGAGUUGGGUUGUUUUUGUUUUAUUUUGGAAUUUUUCAUGUGGAUUGGUGACAAGUAGAAGC
rnacentral:lncRNA from 1 species